CGGUUGAUCCUGCCCGACCUGACUGCUAUCGGAGGGGACUAAGCCAUGCUAGUCGUACGUCUCCGAACUUCGGAGAGCUGGCAGACGGCUCCAGUAACACGUAGUCAACCUGCCCUGAGGACACGGAUAACCCCGGGAAACUGGGACUAAUCCGUGGUGGGCGAAGACUCCUGGAAUGGGUCUUCGCCGAAAUAGGCAAACAAGCCUGUUUUGUUUGUCUGCCUCAGGAUGGGACUGCGUCCGAUCAGGUAGUUGGUGGGGUAAUGGCCCACCAAGCCUGUAACCGGUACGGGCUUUGAGAGAAGGAGCCCGGAGAUGGACACUGAGACAAGGGUCCAGGUCCUACGGGGCGCAGCAGGCGCGAAAACUUCGCAAUGCGCGAAAGCGCGACGAGGCUACUCCGAGUGCUGUCCGCUGAGGACAGCUUUUCCUGGGUCUAAAUAGCCCGAGGAAUAAGGGGAGGGCAAGUCUGGUGUCAGCCGCCGCGGUAAUACCAGCUCCUCUAGUGGUUGGGACGAUUAUUGGGCCUAAAGCAUCCGUAGCCGGCUCUGUAGGUCUCCCGUUAAAUUCAACGGCUUAACCGUUGACCUGCGGGAGAUACCGUAGGGCUAGGAGGCGGGAGAGGCGGACGGUACUCCGAGGGGAGGGGUAAAAUCCUCUGAUCCUCGGAAGACCACCAGUGGCGAAGGCGGUCCGCCAGAACGCGCUCGACGGUGAGGGAUGAAAGCUGGGGGAGCGAACCGGAUUAGAUACCCGGGUAGUCCCAGCUGUAAACGAUGCGAGCUAGGUGAUGGAAUGGCUAUGGGCCGUUCCAGUGCCGCAGGGAAGCCGUUAAGCUCGCCGCCUGGGGAGUACGGCCGCAAGGCUGAAACUUAAAGGAAUUGGCGGGGGAGCAC
rnacentral:rRNA from 1 species